rnacentral:lncRNA from 1 species
CCUUCACCGGGUUGGGGGACAGGAUCGAAAUCUCCGGAGCAGUCAGGGCACUCCCACUGAAGAGUGGAGGCAAGGGACUCAGGAGGGGAGGAGAGGCAGGGCACGUGCCAUGGAGUUCCACAGGUGAGGCACGUGAGAGAUUCCUCGGUAGGAGGAAUCUUCUUGCACUGCAUGCAUGCUCCUUCGCCGUCGGAAGCCAUCUCGAGGAUUUGAUAGGAAGAUAGAGAGAGAAGAAGUGUUGUGUUGCGAGAAUCUAGGUACUGACGAAGAGAUAUAUAUACAUGUGGAGAGUGUAUAUUGGGGGAGUUUAGAGGGACACGAGAAGUGUAAUGGUGGUUUUUUAAUUUAUUUGAACUUCAAACGUUGCCAGAUGUUAAAAUCUUUUUAAAAAGAAAUAAUCUACAAUUUGACCAAGAAAAAGAGAAAUAAUCUACAAAAAAUGGCAUAGAAUCGAAAUUUAGUCACACCAAAUCUUCAGUGACAAAAAAAAGUCACACCAAAUCUAAUCCAAUAUAUUAUUUUCAGAUUUUUUUUUAAAUUAUACAACAGUAUUAUGGCCCCUACCAAAGUGGAUGCAUGUUAACCACGUGUUACCAGUUUACGUUUUCGACUCUUGUGUUACCAGCCUAUAGUUUUGGCCCACGUGUCGAUUUUCUAUCUUUAGUGAUGCCAAAAUUUUAAUUUUCCGGUGAUCCGGACUCGAAUCCAAAUGGCUUCACUGUAUUGGGUUUUGCCUUCAAAUUAAUCACCACUGGACCAUGUAUCAAUUUUUUUUCCAAUUUUUCUAAAUUAUGUUUUUAUGACGAGAUGUAACAACAUUAGGGUAAAAUUAUCUUGGAGCGGAUAUGUUUUGAUGAAACUCUAUUUGAGAAUUUUCAUCAAAAAGUUAGCUUAUACUUAUCAAAGUAAUAUUAGCAGUUGAUAAAAUCACACCAAGGAAUUUUGUUAUAUUCAUUGAGGAACUGAAAACCAGAAUUGAUUUUGUCCAGGAUGAUGAACAUGUGUAUUGAGUAGUCGGAAGAUUGGAGAAGACAAUUGAUCUUAACUUUUAGAGAAAAAAAUUAUUUUCUAUAAACAAAAAAUAUAGUCGAAUGGAUACUUUUAGCAAAAUCAUCAGAACAUGAGAUUCAAAAGCUUUAUUCGACAUCAACCGGGGUGAAAUCCACCAAGACUUAUCAAAUUAGUGAGAAAUUUUUUUACCACUUAGAGCUUUGAUCUGCGACUAAACAAAAUGAAUAUAUAUUUUCUUAUCUCUAAAAAGGAUAAGCCUAGAGAGAUGAUUAAAUCUAGACAUAUUAUCUUAUGCAAUAUGAGUUACAAGAUUAUAUCUUCGUAACUUUGAUAGAAGGAAUGCCUCCUCAUAAAAGGGAUCGCAGUGACCGGGCAUGAGCAACUACUAUGCAAGAGAUUCAAGAGAGUUACCCUGAGCUUAAUCUUAAAGACACAAUCUGCUUUUGUGGCAAGAUGUUUAGUCACAUAUAAUAUAAUAGAAAGGCAAGAAAAGUUUCAUGCUCUCAGCACUAACCCAAAAUGUAUGGAAUAAUUUAUGACUAUCAAAAUAGACAUGAGCAAAACCUAUGACAUAGUGGAAUCAGGUUUAAUCGAAGCAUUGAUGUUAAAGAUAGGUUUCACGGAGAGAUGAGCUAAUCUUCGUAUGUGCUGUGUCACAUUAGUUACCUGCCAAGUUAUUGUAUAUAGAGAACCAAGAGGGCGCAUAUAACCGAGGAGGGGCCUAAGGCAAAGAAAUUGCUUAUCUCCCUUCUUGUUUAUAUAUAUUGUAUAGGGUACUAAUCUCCCUCCUGAAUGGCGUGGAAGUAUAAAAGCGGAUUUUGGGACUUCGCUCUGCUAAGGCGAGUCCUCAAACUUCACAUUUCUUAUUCACAUAUGAUAAUUUUUGCCUCUUAUUUAUUAUCGAUCCAUAAGUCUCUUAGUCUCAUCUUAUUUUCAUAUCCCACUCUUGUUUAUUAAAAAUUUCUAAAUAUUCCCUUGACCACAUGGCACAUGCUCAUCCUUCGUAUAAGUCAUUUACAUACAACUCCUUUGACUCGUUGUGACAACACUCUAGUAUAUAUGAUGAAGAUUAUAUACACAUUUUGGAAAUAUUUCUUCUCCAAUGUUAGAAGUAGUACGAAGCGUGGUCAAAUUGAGAAAAUCAAGGAAGUUUACACAUAUGAUAGGAUUAUUGAGAGUACAUGUCAGUUGUGUAAAAUACAAAUUUGGGAAAGGUUCACUGUAUGAAAAUCAAAUCAACCCGACCAAAUGAUUAUAUGUUAUAUACAACUCGGGUUUUUAUAGAGCCUUCACUACUCUCUGGCUCAACCUAAUACAUCAUCAUCGACUCAAGGUAUGAUCUUCUAUUCUAUCUCCAGUUACAUGUUGUUCAUAACGCUUUUCUAGAAGUAGUCACAAUCGCAUUUAUGUGACUUUUAAUCUGAGCACUUAAAGAUAAAAUGGAAAAAUACGAUGUCAUGUGAAUACGAUGCUCUUGAAAAGAAUGGGACUUGAUUCAUUAUGGAUUUUCCACCGGUAAAGAAGCCAAUUGAGUGUCACUGAAUUUUUACAAUCAUAAAUAAAUCGAAUGGUGAUCAGGUUGAACAAUAUAAACUAAGAUUAGUUGCAUAUGAAAAUAAACAAGAAGAAAGUGUCAGUUAUGAAAAAACGUUUACUACAGUUGUGAAAAUGACGAUUGUGUGAACAUUUCUCAAAGUUGUAGCUGUAAAACAAUGGAAAAUUCACUAGAUGGAUGUUGAUAAUGCAUUUAUGUCAUGGUGAUCUACUGAUCUACAACAAAAAGUUUAUAUGAAGUUGUCUUCAGGAUGUGCAUCAAAUGGUUAGAAAAAACUAUAAACUCAAGAAUCCAUCAUAUGUAUUACGUCAAGCACCUUGUUACUGGAUUUUUGUGCUUACUGAGACUUUGAGAGGGUAUUUUUAUAUUCUAUAAGAAUUUAGACUAUUCAUUUUUUACAUUAACAACUGGGGCACUGCAUAUACAUUCUUAUUUAAAUGAUCCUAAAGCUAUUUAAAAGUUUAAAUGAUAUCUUAGUAAAUGCUUCCAUUUGAAAGGUUUAGGUAUGUUGAAAUAUUUUCUUCGAAUUUAAGUAGUUCAAUCACCUCAGGGUAUAUAUUUGUUUAAGAAAAAAUGUUUCUUGACAUUGCUGUGGGUGUUGUUGCUGGGAACUAAGCGAGUAGCUACACACACACCAAUGAAAAAUAAUAAUAAGUUAGCUAUAGUUAGGGAUAUUUUGUUAAUGAUAUCGAAGGUUAUAGGAUACUUUUUGAAAGGAUCAGUUUACUUUACAUAUGCAUGAUCAUUGUUUUCCUAAGAUGUGAAUAUCCUGGCUCAAAUUGUGCAACAUUAACGUAAAAGCAUUGGAGUUCAGCUAUACUCGAUCGAAUGGUUUGGUAUCUUGAAGGAUCUCCGAGUUAUGUUAAAGGCAAUGUCAAAUGCAGACUCAAACUUAUAAUUCGCGACUUUUUGUGAUUUGGAGCUGACAUUGUGUCCUAUAUGAUCUCUCAAACUCUCACAUGUUAUGUUGUCAUGUUUUUUUUAUAUGUUGUCAUGUUAGGUUAUUCUACUGCAUGUAUGACUAAGAUGUCUUUGAUAUUUAUUGUUUGACAAGGAAAAGAAGUGUGCACUUACUUUAGUGUUUAUUACGAAAUAGCUAUCUUAAAGUGCCAACCAAAGUGGUAAUGAAUUUUAGAAAAACAGUCGAAAUGUAUAUUAUGUUAAAACAAUCAAAGGUUUAAUAAAGAGCCUACUUACCGAUCAAAGGUAAGUUUUACAAACAUACCAGCCAAUUAGAUAAUAGAGUUUUUCUUGGCUUUUAAAAAUAGUCUAUGAUGAUACGAUAGAAACAAACAACAAUAAAUAAAGAUAGAUAGAUUUUUCCUCGAAGUCCUUUAAGCCGCAGAAACAGCUGCUUCGGUGUCCAGUUUAGCCCUUUUCGUCGGUUGUUCAACAUCUUCAGCGUCGGUGAUCUCCGAGUUUUCUUCAGACUCUGUCUCACCGUUUCCUUCCUUCUCAUCUACACUUGAGGCUUCACCUUCUUCCUGUUUCUUCACCUUCUCUAUCACAUCCAUAACUUCUCUGUUGACCUGUUUACACACAAUAACGUUAUGGCAAAUUUCACCAGACAAACUAUUUCUCAAUUUGCAUGCUCAUAAUGGUAAAUAUUAUGCUUAAAUUUUUUCUUUUGGAAACAGUAUCACUUUUCAAUAUAUCAACUGCAUGAGACCAAUGCAAGAAGAAAGGAUGAUGAUUUUCACCUGAACGUUCUGAAGAAAGUCAGAAAUGUCACGGGGGCAACAAGGGCACUUCAUGAUGUUUUUCAUUGCACGAAGCGUUCGCCCACCUCUGCUUCUUUCCACCAUCCGAGUCUGCCCAGCAAAUUUAUCUUCUAGACAUCCCUUGCAGAAGUUAUGUGCACAAGGCGUUGUCACCGGAAAGUUCAUCACUUGCAGACAUAUUUGGCAACUAAAUCCUGCAUCAACAACAGACACCCAACAACGGUUUUAGAUGCCACCAGUCAUUUCCAGAAAUUGAUAAUUAGUUGGACAGCUGAACCUUUCAGAAGUUGUUCUCUCAAGGUACUUGAGCGUGCCGCGUCCAUGGCUUCCUUCAUUAACUUCCUCUCCUCAGGAUCCAAAACAUUAACAGGCUUUUUGCUAGCAGGUGGAGGCUUCAUCCAUUUCCAACAACCCUCAGCUUCCUGAUCAAGUAAGCGUAUCCACAGGUACAUGGAAGAGAUUAAAAAUAAGGUAAAAGAAAAAAUUAAUAUCUGAUCAGUGAUCACACCGUCCGAAUGCUAAAAUUGAACUUACAUCAAAAUCCCAUGAUGGAGUUUCGAUUCUCUCAAACAGGUCUAUUGCUUGCGCAAGCUCUGGAACGUGAGGCAAAGGUCUUGGACGAUCUCCAUGUUCGUCACUGCAGUAUUAAAACACACAACGUUAGACCCAAACAGUAAAACAUAAAAAGAAGGCGCUUCAAACCUGGUCCAUGGAGCUGGAUCGUUAUCACAUCUAACGAAGAGGUAACGGCAGACCUUAAAUUUUCCCUAUGGAAAACAAAAGAAUAGGUUAGGAAAAAUAAUCAAAACCUCUGCACAGACGGAACAGGUGAAAAAAUUGUGUUUGUGGUAAUUAAGGUGUAUGCAUACCUGCACACUAACUUUACGCCAGCACUUUUCGACCCUGUAAAUACCAUCAUAUCUCACUCCUUCCUCAGGGGCAUAUGCAGCAAUUUUUUCUUUGUAAGUCCUGGUUAUGAAAAUUAAAAAAGUUCUAGUCAGAGUUUAUCUAGGGAGAAAAAUGAGAGUGUGAGAAAAGCGUUGAGGUAAUGGAAUAACACUCUAAUAACAGCUAACCUGACAACGCGAACAGGAUAACCCAUUCUGCAACUAAGCCUUAAAGCUUCAUUUCCAUUUGUAAAUUUCUGAUCAAAAGACUGUUGUUUGUUAGUCCUUCUGUUGCCGCUGAGGUCUCUUCCUCCACUGUGACACGUCCGCACAUUAUCAAGACAAUGAAGUAAGUCAGCUACCAAUAAACCAGUACUAAUCAAAUGUACCAAAAGCAAAGAGUAAUGAAGAAAUAUGAAUAAACCUUCCAGUGUAGAGAAACCAUUCUCCAUGAUCCUCGUCGUCGUCAUAACCAACAGAGAUUGCAACGGACUGAGCUCCAUGUUUCGAUUGUCCAGCAAUCCCAGCAACAUGGACAACGUGAGCACCCCACUGCUUACAAGCCAACCUACUCUUCCAGGAUUCACCAACUAAGACACCUUGGUUUCUGACAGGGUCAUUUUCCGCCGGAAUAGGACCGAAAUGAUCACCGGGUACUGUAACAUAUAUCUUGCCACUUGCAGCAUUUGCUAUGCCGCCUAUUAUGGCGCGCUCAGUCGUAAAUGCUUCAUCUGGUCGGCUUUCAUUGCUGACAUAAUGGUAAACGUUUGAAGUACUCGCAGCAGCAGCGGCACCAGAAGCUCUCGAAACUUUGGCCAGACGGAUAGCAGACACAAGGGAAGCGUUGAUACGAGGAUUCGCUGCCACAUCGUUAGGAACUACAAAGCGGCAUUUUAUACACUCUCGCUUCCCUUGCUCAGUCCACUUCACAAAGCAUUUCAAACAGAAAUUGUGCCCGCAUGGCGUCUGAAAAAAUAAUUACACAUACACGAGCAAAUACUUAAUGGUUUAUUGAAUGAAGAGAACUUUAUAGUGACAAAAUAAAAGAAACAAGUAUAGAUUAACCAUCAACAAACACUUAUUAACAGUGUAGUGGUUGAAAUUGAAGUUUCAUAAUAUAUAAAUUUAUGUGAACACUCACUUAUUGACCUAGUUUAUCAUUAAUGACCUUGCAAACGUAUAAUUAAAUAUGUUUCAAACACUAAAAUAAACUCGAGACUCAAACAUAUUCACCAGGCUAACACUAGAUUCUUUCACUAAAUUAUCAAGCACAAGAGGCAAAUCAAUGUACCAAUCUUCAACAUAAGUGUACACAAACAAUUAUUAACAUAUUGUUGAAAUGGCAGCAUAAGAGGCAAAUCAAUCUACUAAUAAACACAGAAUCUAUGAUAUAAUCAAGUGACAACAAUCUUAUCAAAUAAAAUUUCAGCAUUUAAGGGGAAACCUAAAUCAAAUUGACUUUGUAUUUUCAAAUAUUUAUCAAUGAAAUUUGUUUGUUUGCAGUAAAAACAAACCCUAAAUUAGAUUCUAGGUAUUUCAAAAAUUUAACAUGCAUAAGAGGGCAAAUCAAUCUUCUAAUAUCAGCAUCGAGAGAGAGAUCAUUCAACAGGCUAACACUACACCAACAUGUACAAGAGACAAAUCAUUAUUCUGAUAUCAAAGCAUGAUCAUACCGUCACGGGCCUUUCAAGCAACUGAAGACAGAAAGAGCAUUUCAAGUUUUCACCAAGAGCGGCCAAGAUAUCAGCAUCAAGACCCAUAGAGGAGCUCUUCUUCUUCUCUUCUUCUUCCUCAUCAUCAUCCUCCAUGACGGCUUUACCGCUCAGAAGCUGCUGCCUCUUCUUAGCCUUAUCCUCGUCCGUCAAAGUCACGUCGGACUCGAUCGCACGAAUGGCCGCCACGAGAUCUGAUCCUUCACCGGGUUGGGGGACAGGAUCGAAAUCUCCGGAGCAGUCAGGGCACUCCCACUGAAGAGUGGAGGCAAGGGACUCAGGAGGGGAGGAGAGGCAGGGCACGUGCCAUGGAGUUCCACAGGUGAGGCACGUGAGAGAUUCCUCGGUAGGAGGAAUCUUCUUGCACUGCAUGCAUGCUCCUUCGCCGUCGGAAGCCAUCUCGAGGAUUUGAUAGGAAGAUAGAGAGAGAAGAAG